AGAGCUACAGCGGUCUCCGGGUGGCGAAGUGCGGAGACGGGGUUUUGGAGACGGUGGAUGGAGGAGGGGGAGGGAAAGCUGCCAACUUUGGAUACCAACCCCGUACACCCACCGAAGGGGAUGUCCCACUUUUUCCAGCGCUGGGAGCAAAAAGAUAACAGUGAGCGAGGUUGAAAAGUAAGACAUUGAUUUAAAUAGAAGAAAAACUGUUGUUUCAACCAACGAAGAGAUUCUUUGUUUUCUUAUCUGUAAAAUGUGAAAAAUCGUACCUAACCUACAGGGUGAUUGUGAGGAGUAAUUGAAAUAAAAUUCGAGGAAUUGUGUAACGUGAAGUACCAUGAACAAUAAAACAGGAGGCAGAAUGAAAAGUAAGCCUCUCUGUCGGGUGUUGAUGAGCUUUGGAGCAACGAGAUAAACUCAGCGGGUUUGGUAGUCUAAAUGGCACAAACCCUUAGCAGAGCAACUAGGAAAUAGCUUGUAAAAUUACACGUGCCUACCACUCUUCUAGGAAAAUUCUCGCCCACGUAUCUACAAAUACAAGAAUAUUCAUAGCAAACUUUAUAAGUUGCAAAAGAGCAGGAAACAUAAGUGCCAUUGACAGAAGUAAUAAGUAAAUAGUGGCGUAUUUAUAUAAUAGUAUAUAGCAGGUACGAAGAAUGAACCAGUGCUAUGUUUACUAGCAUGAAAAACCCAAAAAACAGGGUUGGUGGGCGCUUUGGCUCACGCCUGUAAUCCAGCACUUAGGGAGGAUGAAGCGGGAGGAUCGCUUGAGCCCAGGAGUUGGAGAACUGCCUGGGCAAUAUAGCGAGACCCCGUUAUUCACAAAAAGAAAAAAAAAAGACACAAACCAAAACAAAACAAGUUUAACUCCUCUCAUCGCAAGCCGGGUGCGGUGGCGUGUUCCUGUGGUCCCAACUUCUCGGGAAGCUGAGACAGGAGAAUCUCUUAAGCCCAGGAGUUGGAGGCCAGUGGGGACACCCAUCUCUUAGAAAAGGAAAUAAAAAAUAUAUAGUGUAAAAUAACAUCUAUAUAUUUAAAAACGUGCAAAAGAAUAUAAAAUUUUAGGAGUGUACAUAUGUCAUGAAAUUAUAAAGUCAUGUAUUGGAGUAACUAAAAUUUCAAGAUAGUGGUAAACUGGAAGGAGAUGUAAUGGAGAAGAACAGAAAGGCUUCACAUGCCUUGGUAAUGUUUUGUUAUUUAGGUUAAUGUUAAUUUCACAAGCAUGCCUUAUAUUAUUGUUUGUACCUUCUGGUAUGUCUGAAAUAUUUAAUAAUAAAUGAAUUUCUAAAGUAAAUCUCCUCUCCACAUCCUUCCUCAGCCAUCCAGUUUCCUCUAUUAGCUAGCUAUAGUUUAUCUUUUAUUAUUUGUUCUUGCAUUGAUAUUUAUUGCUUUUAAUAUUUUUCUGUUUUCUGAUUCUUGCCUCUUUUUUUUUUUAGAAACAGGGUCUUGCUUCGUUGCCCAGCCUGGUCUCAAACUCUUGGCUUCAAGCAAUCCUCCUGCCUCAGCCUCCCAAAGUGCUGUGAUUAUAGGCGUGAGCCACCGUGCCCCCCCCCUUCUUCUGUGUUUAGGCUUAUAUGCUGUUCUCUAAUUUCUACCACUGAUGUUUAUUUUUAUUCAUAUUUCUUAUUUAUUACUAUAUGUAUUUAUAUAAAUUUUCCCCUAAGCUCUCCCUUAACCAAUGUACUAUAUAGUGCUUUUAUAGUUGUCAUUUUUACAGUCUGAUUUUCUUAGCAUUGAUAUCCUUUUUUUUUUUACAUUUUUAUUUUUAUUUCAACAGUUUUGAGGGAACAGGUGAUGUUUGGUUGCAUGGAAAAGUUCUUUAGUGGUGAUCUCUGAGGUUUUGGUGCACCCAUCACCUGAGCAGUGUAUACUGUAUCCAAUGUGUAUGUAGUCUUUUAUCCCUCACUCCCUCGCCCACCCUUCCCCGCCGCCAGUCCCCAAAGUCCAUUAUAUAAUUCUUAGGAGUUUGCAUCCUCAUAGCUUAGCUCCUGCUUAAUAGUGAGAACAUGCCAUGUUUUGUUUUCCAUUCCUGAGUUGCUUCACUUAGAAUGAUGGUCUCCAGCUCCAUCCAGGUUGCUGCAAAUGCCAUUAUUUUGUUCCUUUUUGUGGUUGAGUUAGUAGUAUUCCCAUAUAUAUUCCCAUAUAUAUAUAUAUAUAUAUAUAUAUAUAUAUAUAUAUAUAUAUAUAUGUAGUAUUCCCAUAUGUAUAUAUAUGUAUAUACACCACAUUUUCUUUAUCCACUCGUUGGUCGAUGGGCAUUUAGGCUGGUUCUGUAUUUUGGCAACUGUGAGCUGUGCUGCUAUAAACGUGUGUGCAAGUGUCUUUUUCAUAUAAUGACUUCUUUUCCUUUGAGUAGAUACCCAGUAGUGGGAUUAUUGGAUCAAAUGGUAGUUCUACUAUUAGUUCUUUAAGGAAUCUACAUACUGUUUUCCAUAGUGGUUGUACUGGUUUACAUUCCCACCAGCAGUGUAAAAGUGUUCCCCUUUCACCACAUCCAUGCCAACAUCUGUUUUUUUUUAUUUUUUAAUUAUGGCCAUUCUUGCAGGAGUAAGGUGGUAUCUCAUUGUGGUUUUGAUUGGCAUUUCCCUGAUAAUUAAUGAUGUUGAGCAUUUUUUCAUUUCUUUAUUGGCAAUUUAUAUAUAUAUAUAUAUAUAUUUGUUGUUGUUGUUUUGUUUUGGUUUUUGAGACGGAGUCUUGCUCUGUUGCGCAGGCUGGAGUGCAAUGACUCGAUCUUGGCUGACUGCACCCUCUGCCUCCCUGGUUGAAGCAAUUUUCCUGCCUCAGCCUCCUGAGUAGCUGGGACUGCAGGCGUGCACCACCACCCCCAGCUAAUUUUUGUAUUUUUAGUAGAGAUGGGGUUUCACCAUGUUAGCCAGGCUAGUCUUGAACUCCUGGCCUCAGACAAUGCUCGCCUCGGCCUCCCAAAGUGCUGGGAUUAUAGGCGUGAGCCACUGUGUCCGGUGAAUUUGUAUAUUUUCUUUUAAGAAUUGUCUAUUCAUGUCCUUUGCCCACUUUUUGAUGGGAUAAUUUAUUUUUUUCUUGCUGAUUUGUUUGAGUUAUUUGUAGAUUCUGGAUAUUAGCCCUUUGUUGGAUACGUAGUUUGUGAAGAUUUUUCUCCCACUCAAUGGAUUGUCUGUUUACUCUGCUGAUUAUUUCUUUUGCUGUGCAGAAGCUUUUUAAUUUAAUUAGGUCCCAUCUAUUUACCUUUGUUUUUGUUGUAUUUGCUUUUGGAUUAUUGGUCAUGAACUCUUUGCCUAAGCCAGUGUGUACAAGAAUUUUUCCUAUGUUAUCGUCUAGAAUUUUUAGUUUCAGGUCUCAGAUUUAAGUCUUUGAUCCAUUGUGAGUUGAUUUUUGUAUCAGGCACAGAUGGGGAUCCAGUUUCCUUCUUCUACAUGUGGCUUGCGAAUCAUCCCAGCACCAUUUGUUGAAUAGGGUGUCCUUUCCCCACUUUAUGUUUUUGUAUGCUUUGUCAAAGAUCAGUUGGCUGUAAAUAUUUGGCUUUAUUUCUGGGUUCUCUAUUAUGUUGCACUGAUCUACAUGCCUACUUUUAUACCAGUACCAUGCUGUUUUGGUAACUAUAGCCUUGUGGUAUAGUUUGAAUUCAGAGGGUGUGUUGCCUCCAGAUUUGUUCUUUUUGCUUAGUCUUGCUUUGGCUAUCUGGGGUCUUUUUUUGUUUCAUAUGAAUUUUAGGAUUUUUUUUUCAAGUUCUUUGAAGAAUGAUGAUGGUAUUUGAAUGCAAAUUGCAUUGAAUUUAUAGAUUGCUUUUGUCAGUAUUGUCAUUUUCACAAUAUUGAUUCUGAAGCAGCAUCAUUGUCUGGGGUAAUACCCAAGGCUUGUUGUCUCACACCAAGGGAAUCGAGGAUGUGGACACACACAUGAAGUGAGGUUUAAUAGCACAAGAAAGAGAAAGGAGAACAGCUCCCUCUCUUGAAGGGGGGGAGGGAGAGAGAGGGAGAGAGACAGACAGACAGACAGACAUGGGGGCAGCUCCCUAAUGGGAAUUCUAGCCCACGGGGGAGUGCACCAGAUUUUAUAGACAGGCUUGAGGAGGCAGUGUCUGAUUUACAUAGGGCCCACAGAUUGGUUGGACCGGGUGUGAUGUUUACAUAGUGUGCGAGGAAGCUGGCUGCCCUACCCUAAUCUUAUUAUGCAAAUAGGCUUUCCACUUGGUCAGUACCAUGUUGUCUGCUCCCUACUGCACACACGGUUGGAAAAGAAAAGGGAAGAUGGAGCCACCAUUUUGAACAUGCCUAGUCCCAGGUGGCCUUUUCCUAUUGGCACAACUGCUGGCAUUCACCCAUGCAAGCUUCCAGCUUGCUUGUACAUGUGUGCAGCUCCAUUUUACAGGCUGCUCUUUGUUAGAAACAAGAUGAUUUGGGGGCUGCUUUUCAUUAAAAGGAAAACCUUACUGAGAACUUCCUCACCCUCACUAUCUGCCUAAAUAAUUUCUCUUUAACUCCUAUAUCAAAAUUCCGGCCCGGGCGCUGUGGCAUAUGCCUGUAAUCCCAGCACUUUGGAAGGCUGAGGCGAGCAGAUCACUUGAGGUCAGGAGUUCAAGACUAGCCUGGCCAACAUGGCAAAACCCUAGCUCUACUAAAAAUACAAAAAUUAGCCAGGUGUAGUGGCAUGUGCCUGUAGUCCCAGCUACUUGAGAGGCUGAGGCAGGAAAAUUGCUUGAACCCAGGAAGCAGAGGUUGCAGUGAGCUGAGAUUGUGCCAUUGCACUCCAGCCUGGGUGACGGAGUAAGACGCCUCAAAAAAUUAAUUAAUUAAUUAAAUAAAUAAAAUAAAAUUCUUCCCAUCCAUGAGUGUGGGAUGUGUUUCCAUUUGUUUGUGUCAUCUAUUAUUUCUUUCAGCAGUGUUUUGUAGUUUUCCUUGUAGAGAUCUUUCACCUCCUUGGUUAGGUGUAUUUCUAAGUAUUUUAUUUUAUUUUUUUUGCAGAUGCUGUAAAAGAGGUUGAGUUCUUGAUUUGAUUCUCAGCUUGGUCAUUGUUGAUGUAAAGCAGUGCUACUGAUUUGUGUACAUUGAUUGUGUAUCCUGUCAGAUCUAGGAGCUUUUUGGAUGAGUCUUUAGGGUUUUCUAGGUAUACUGUCAUAUCAUCAGCGAACAGCAACAGUUUGACUUUCUCUUUACUGAUUUAAAUGCCCUUUAUUUCUUUCUCGUCUGAUUGCUCUGGCUAGGACUUCCAGUACUAUGUUGCAUAGAAGCGGUGAAAGUGGGCAUCCUUAUCUUGUUCCACUUUGCUGUGGGAAUGCUUUCAACUUUUCCCCAUUCAGUGUAAUGUUGGCUGUGGGUUUGUCAUAGAUGGCUUUUAUUACCUUGAGGUAUGUCCCAUCUAUAAUGAUUUUGCUGAGGGUUCUAAUCAUAAAUGGAGGCUGGAUUUUGUCAGGUGCUUUUUCUGCAUCUAUUGAGAUAAUAAUGAUUUUUGUUUUUAAUACUGUUUGUAUGAUGUAUCACAUUUUAUUGACUUGCAUAUGGUAAACUAUCCCUGCAUCCCUGAUAUGAAACCCAACUUGAUUGUGGUGGAUUAUCUUUCUGAUAUGCUGUUGGAUUUGGUUAGCUAGUAUUUUGUUGAGGAUUUUUGCAUCUGUGUUCACCAGGGAUAUUGGUCUGUAGUUUUCUUUUUUUGUUAUAUCCUUUCCAGGUUUUGGUAUAAGGGUGAUACUAGCUUCAUAGAAUGAUUCAGGGAGGAUUCCCUCUUUCUCUAUUUUUUGGAAUAGUUUCAAUAGGAUUGGUACCAGCUCUUCUUUGAAUGUCUGAUAGAAUUCAGCUGUGAAUCCACAUGGUCCUGGACUUUUUUUCCAUUGGCAAUUUUUAAAUUACUGUUUUAAUCUCACUACUUGUUACUGGUCUGUUCAGAAUUUCUGUUUCUUUUUUAUUUAAUCCAGGAGGGCUGUAUAUGCAGGAAUGUAUCCACCUCUUCUAGAUUUUCUAGUUUGUGUGUGUAAAGAUGUUCAUAGUAGCCUUGAAUGAUCUUUUGUAUUUCUGUGGUAUUAGUUGUAAUACUUCCUGUUUCAUUUCUAAUUGAACUUAUGUGGAUCUUCUGUCUUCUUGGUUAAUCUCACUAACUGUCUAUCUCUUUUGAAAGAACCAGCUUUUUGUUUCAUUUAUCUUUUAUAUUUAUUUGUUUCAAUCUUAUUUAAUUUGGCUCUGAUCUUUGUUAUUUCUUUUCUUCUGCUGGGUUUGAGUUUGGUUUGUUCUUGUUUCUGUAGUUAUUUGAGGUGUGACCUUAGAUUUCUAUUUGUACUCUUUCACACUUUUUGAUGUAGGCAUUCAAUGCUAUGAACUUUCUCCUCUUAGCACGACUUUUGCUGUGUCCCAGAGUUUUUGAUAAGUUGCAUCACUAUUAUCAUUCAAAUAAUUUUUUAAUUUCCAUCUUGAUUUCACUGUUGACCCACAGACCAUUCAGGAGCAGAUUAUUUAAUUUCCACGUAUUUGUAUAGUUUUAAGGGUUCCUUUUGGAGUUAAUUUCCAAUUUUAUUUCACUGUGGUCUGUGAGGGUACUAAUAUAAUUUCAAUUUUCUUAAAUUUAUUGAAACUUGUCCUGUGGCCUAUCAUAUGGUCUCUCUUGGACAAUGUUCUAUGUACCGAUGAAAAGAAUAUAUAUUCUGAAGUUGUUGGAUAGAAUGUUCUGUAAAUAUCUGUUAAAUCUUAUUUGUUCUAGGGUAUAGUUUAAGUCCAUUGUUUCUUUGUUGACUUUCUGUCUUCAUGACCUGUCUAGUGUUAUCAGUGGAGUAUUGAAGUCCCCCACUAUUAUUGUGUUGCUGUCUGUCUCAUUUCUUAGGUCUAGUCGUAAUUGUUUUAUGAAUUUGGGAGCUCCAAUGUUAGGUGCAUAUAUAUUUAGGAUUAUGAUAUUUUCCUGUUGGACUAAUCAUUUUAUCAUUACAUAAUGUCCCUCUUUGUCUUCUUUUUAACUGUUGUUGCUUUAAAAUCUUGUUUGUCUGAUAUGAGAAUAGCUACUCCUGCUUGUUUUUGGUUUCCAUUUGCAUGGAAUGUCUUUUUCCACCCCUUUACCUUAAGUUUAUGUGAUUCCUUAUGUGUUGGAUGAGUCUCUUGAAGAUAGCAGAUACUUGGUUGGUGAAUUUUUAUCCAUUCUACCAUUCUGUAUCUUUUAAGUGGGGCAUUUAGGCUAUUUACAUUCAACAUUAGUACUGAGAGGUGAGGUACUGUUUAUUCAUCAUGCUAGAUGAAUAGAAUAGGGCCAAUGGGGUUAUGUUCCAGAGGGGAUUAUGGCUGUCUCUGUUGCCAGGGAAGUGGGAGAAAACCAGUAGUGAUAGGCCUCACCCAGCUCCCACGCAGUUGACGGGGCCAGUCUCAUUUCUACUGUGGCCCUGCUAACAGCACCAACUUUAUCUCCAGGCAACCUUCAGGCAAGAGUCAGACCUAGCCCCAGGCUGUAAGUUUCCCCACUGAGAAAGCAAAUAUGGCUUUCAAGCCAUGCCUCACCCCACCUGCCCACACUCUCCACCAUAACUCCUGCUCUCCUAUCUGCAGCAGUUUUCGUUUGCCCCUGGAUUCUGCUCAAGAGAGUUCAUGCCCAGUCAAAAUUAUUACAGAGUUCAUUUAGAAGUUUCUUUCACCCUGUGACCCCUCCCGAAUUCUACCAGCUACUUUCCCUGAGGGCCCCUAUGAGAUAUAGUCGGGGUUGUCUUCCCUGGGCUUGAACUGGAGAAUGGCAGUGCCUACUUGGCUCUUCCCACUGCUGCUUCUACUUUUAUAUUUCACGCUAAAUCUGUUUCAGCUCUAGGUACGGUUAAAUCCCUCUUCCAUAAUCUGGAUUUUUGGAUUCCCCAGUGGGGAUGUGUGUCCAGAUGCAGGUUUUCUACCUCUCACACUUUGGGAACUCACAGUUUUUCACCAGUCUUGAAGAAUUGGCAGCGGCCUGCCACUUCUUUCAAAGGAUCUGUGAUUUCUUUUGGUCUUCCUGGUUCACUUCUGCAGUGGUUCCUGGAGCAAGUGUCCAUGGUGUGAGUCUUCACACGCUGUUCUGUCCAUCCAAGGGGGAGCUGCACAUCAGCCCUGUCUCCUAUCUGCCAUCUUCCUUGGUCUUCCUGAUAUCCUUUGUGACCCAAAAGUAGUGUGAGUUAGCUAUUUAAAAUUAAUAGACUAAGUUUAGAGCAGUUUUGUUACCAGAAAGUGGUCCCGAUCUAGACCCCAAGAGAGGGUUCUUGGAUCUCUUGCAAGAAAUAAUUCAGGAUGAGUCCAUAGAUAGAAGUGAAAGCAAGUUUAUUAAGAAAGUAGAGAAAUAAAAGAAUGACUACUCCAUAGACAGAUCAGCCGCAAGGGCUGCUGGUUGCCCAUUUUAAUGUUUAUUUCUUGAUUAUACACUAAACAAGGGGUGGAUUAUUCUUGCCUCCCCUUUUUACACCAUAUAGGGCAACUUCCUGACGUUGCCAUGACAUUUAUAAACUGUCAUGGUGCUGGUGGGAGUAUAGCAGUGAGGACAACCAGAAGUCACUCUUGUCACCAUCUUGGUAUUGGUGGGUUUUAGCCGGCUUCUUUACUGCAACCCGUUUUAUCAGCAAGGUCUUUAUGAUCUGUAUCUUGUGCUGACCUCCUAUCUUAUCCUGUGACUUAGAAUCCCUAACCGUCUGGGAAUGCAGCCCAGUGGGUCUCAGCCUCGUUUCACCCAGCCUAUAUACAAGAUGGAAUCUCUUUGGUUUAAACACUUCUGACAGUUUUACUGUAUAAAAAAUUGAGCAGAUAGUACAGAGAGUUCCCAUAUACUCUCUCUUUCCCCAUUUAAAGAUUCCUCUAUUAUUGUCUUGCAGUAGCUUGGUACUUUUACUACAAUUGAUGAACCAGUAGUGAUACAUUAUUAUUAAAUGAAGUCCAUAGUUUACAUUAGGAUUUACUUUUAGUGUUGUAUAGUUUCGACAAAUAUAUAAUGCCAUUUAUCUGCCCUUACGGUCUAAUACAGAAUAGUUUCACUGUCCUAAAAAUUCCUUGUGCUCCACCUUUUUAUCUCUCCCUCUGUCCUCACAACCACUGAUCUUUUUUACUGUUUAUAUAGUUUGCCUUUUUCAGAAUGUAAUAUAAUUAGAAUCAUACAGUAUGGACCCAUUUCAGACCAGCUUUUUUCCCUAAGUAAUAUGCAUCUGAGUUUCCUCCAUGUAUUUUCAUGGCUUGAUAGCUCAUUUGUUUUUAUUGCUGAAUAAAACUGUCUAGAUAUAACAUAGUUUAUCCAUCCAAGCAAGACCUUGUCUCUAAGAAAAAGAAACUGCUCUAAAAAGUAAAACCUAUUAAUUUUUAAAAAGGUAAGAACCAUCAGGAAUGGUGGCUCAUGUCUGUAAUCCCAGCACUUUGGAGGACCGAGGCAAGAGGAUUGCUUGAGCCCAGGAGUGCAAGACCAGCCUUGGCAACAUAGCAAGACCUUUUCUCUACAAAUAAUAUAAAUAAUUAGCCUGAUGUGGUGGUGUGCACCUUUGGUCCUGGCUACCUAGGAGGCUGAGGCUGGAGAAUCACUUGAAUCCAGAAGGCGGAGGUUGCAGUGAGCCAAGAUCAUGCCACUGCACUCCAGCCUGGCUGACAGAAUGAGACCCCAUCUCCAAAAAAAAUACAAAAAUAAAAAUAAGGCCCAACUAUAUGCUAUCUACAGGAAAUGCACUUUAAAUAUAAAGACACAAAUGAGUUAAUGAGUUAAAAAUAAAAUAUUGGAAAAAUGUAUACCAUGCCAACACUAAUCAAAAGAAAGCUGAGUGACUACAUUAAUAUCAAAAUAGAUUUCAGAGCAAAGAAUAUUACCAAGGAUAAUUAACAUUAUGUCAUAAUGAUACAGGGGUCAAUUCAUCAGGAAUUUGUGACAAGCCUAAAUCUUUAUAUAUCUAAUAGCAGAACUUCAAAAAACUUGAAGCAAAAACUGAUAAAACUGAAGGGAGAAUUAGACCAAAAAAAGAGUUAAGAAUAACGUGCAUAGCAUGCUAUUUUUUAUGCAAAAAUACUAAUGUAUGCUUGAAUUUAUAGGCUACCUAUGAAAGCAUUAUGUAAGAAACUGAUAAUACUUGUUGCCUCCAGGAAGGGGAGUUUGAUGGCUAGUGUACAGAGAGAGAAGGGAAUCUAUUCCCAUGUAUGUAUAUUACCUAUUAAAAAUAACCAUCCUGGCCAACAUGGUGAAAUCUCGUCUCUACUAAAAGUACAAAAAUUAGCUGGGUGUGGUGGCAGGUGCCUGUAAUCCCAGCUACUCAGGAGGCUGAGGCAGGAGAAUCGCUUGAACCUGGGAGACAAAGAUUGCAGUGAGCCGAGAUCACACCAUUGCACUCCAGCCUGGGCGACACAGCAAGACUCUGUCUCAAAAAAAAAAAAAAAAAAAAUAGAAUGUUUGCCAGGCACAGUGGCUUAUGCCUGUAAUCCCAGCUCUUUGGGAGGCCAAGACAGGAGUAUCACUUGUAUCCAGGAGCUUGAGACCAGCCUGGGCAACAUAGCAAGACCCCAUCUCUACAAAAAAUAAAAAAUUAGUUGCCCACAGUGGCAUGUGCCUGAAGCCCCAGCUACUCAGUAGGCUAAGAUGGGAGGAUCACAUGAACCUAAAUCGAGGCUGCAGUGAGUCAUGAUCAUGCCACUGCACUCAGUCUGCGUAACAGAGUGAGAUCCUAUCUCAAAAAAUAAUAAUAAUAAUAGGCCAGGUGUGGUGGCUCACACCUGUAAUCUCAAUGCUUUGGGAUGCCAAGGCAGAAGGAUUGCUUGAGCUGGACAACAUGGUGAAACCCUCAUCUCCACAAAAAAUACAAAAAUUAGCCAGGCUUGGUGGUGCAUACUUGUGGUUCCAGCUACUCAGGAGGCUGAGGUGGGAGGAUUGCUUGCACCCAGGAGGUCAAGGCUGCAGUGUGCCAAGAACAUACCACUGCACUCCAGCCUGGGUUUCAGAGCAAGACCCUGUCUCCAAAAGCAUAAAUAAAAAUAGAAUUUUUUUUUUUUUGAGACAAAGUCUCGCUCUGUUGCCCAGGUUGGAGUGCAGUGACACGAUCUCAGCUCACUGCAAGCUCUGCCUCCUGGGUUCACACCAUUCUCUUGCCUCAGCCUCCCGAAUAGCUGGGAUUACAGGCACCCGCCACCAUGCCCAGCUAAUUUUUUGUGUUUUUAAUGGAGACGAGGUUUCACCGUGUUAGCCAGGAUGGUCUCAAUCUCCUGACCUCGUGAUCCACCCACCUCGGCCUCCCAAAGUCCUGGGAUUACAGGCGUGAGCCGCCGUGCCUGGCAAAAAAUAGAAUUUUUACAGAUAAAUAAGAACCGAGGAGUAGAGAAAAGUUGUAUAAAUAACUCUUUCAAAAAACUUUUGUUGGCUUCCUUUCCAAUUUGGGCCUGGCAGGAUGGCUCCUGCAAAGAAGGGUGGCAAAAAGAAAAAGGGCAGUUCUGCCAUCAAUGAGGUGGUGACCCGAGAAUACACCAUCAGCAUUCACAAACACAUCCAUGGAGUGGACUUCAAGAAGUGUGCCCCUCGGCCGAGCGUGGUGGCUUAUGCCUGUAAUCCCAACACUUUGGGAGGCCAAGGCAGGCGGAUCACAAGGUCAGGAUUUCAAGACCAGCCUGGCCAACAUGGUGAAAACCCAUCUCUACUAAAAAUACAAAAAUUAGCCGGGCGUGGUGCUGGGCGCCUGUCAUCCCAGCUACUCGGGAGGCUGAAGCAGGAGAAUCGCUUGAACCCCGGAGGUGGAGGUUGCAGUGAGCUGAGAUAGUGCCACUGCACUCCAGCCUAGGUGACAGACCAAGACUCCAUCUCAGAAAAAAAGAAGCAUGCCCCUCAAGCACUCAAAGAGAUCCAGAAAUUUGCCGUGAAGGAGAUGGGAACUCCAGAUGUGCGCGUUGAUACCAGGCUCAACAAAGCUGUCUGGGCCAAAGGAAUAAGUAUAAGUAAUGUCCCAUACCGUAUCCAUGUGCAGUUUCCAGGAACGUAAUGAAGAUGAAGAUUCACCAAAUGAGCUCUAUACUUUGGUUACCUAUGUACACAUUACCACUUUCAAAAAUCUACAGUCAGUAUGGAUGAGAACUAACUGCUGAUCAUCAAACACAUCAAAUAAAGUUAUAAAAUUGCAAAAAAUACCACAAACUUUUGUUGCAUAGAACAAAGAAAUGUGAUGGUUGUUGGAGGAGCCUGUCAGGUCAAGAAAUAGUGUUUUUAAGAUGAGGGAUAACAGAAUGUGUAGAAUUAUGGGAAUAAAGUAAUGAGGAGAGUAACCAUGAUGAUGAAGAGACAGAGGGGACAUCUGAGACAGCAAAGUAUUUAAUAGGUAGAGGUGGUACCUGGUGACCAAAUAGUGACCUUUGCUAAAAGGAACACCUACUCUCUGGUAACCAGGGGAAGAAAGAGUCCAUGGGUACAAAUGCAGAUGAGGAUAUACUAUGUGGAAAAUGAGGGAGUUCCUUUCUGAUGGCUUCUGUCUCAACGAGGUCAUUAGCUUGUCAAAAAAUAGAUGAGGUAAGGCCGGGCACGGUGGCUCACACCUGUAAUCCCAGCACUUUGGGAGGCUGAGGCGGGCGGAUCACGAGGUCAGAAGAUUGAGACCAUCCUGGCUAACACAUGGUGAAACCCUGUCUCUACUAAAAAUACAAAAAAAUUAGCCGGGCUUGGUGGCCUUCCACCACAUGAUGAUGCGGAAAGAAGGCCCUCACCAGAUGUUAGUGCCUUGAUCUUGGACUUCUGAGCUCUGAAACUGUGAGCCAAUAAAUUUCUGUUUGUUAUAAAUGAAUCAUUCUUAGAUAUUCUGUUAUAGCAGCACAAACAAACUAAGACAACAACCUACAGAAUGAAAGUAUUUACAAAUUAUAUAUCUGAUUAGGAUCUACUCCGUAGAAUAUAGAAAGAACUCUUACAACUCAACAACAAAAAGACAAACCCCCCAAUUUUAAAAUGGGCAAAGGACUUGAACAGACAUUUUCCAAAGAGGGUGUACAAAUGACCAAGAAGCACAUGAAAAGAUGUUCAGUAUCUUUAGUCAUUAGGGAAAGGCAAAUCAAAACCACAAUGAGCCUGGGUGAGGUGGCUCAUACCUGUAAUUCCAGCACUUAGGGAGGCUGAGGCAGGUGGAUCACUUGAGGUCAGGAGUUCGAGAACAGCCUGGCCAACAUGGUGAAACCCUAUCUCUACUAAAAAUACAAAAAUUAGCGGGGUUUGAUGGUGCAUGCCUGUAUUCCCAGCUACUCAGGAGGCUGAGGCAGGAGAAUCACUUCAACCUGAGAAAUGGAGGUUGCAGUGAGCCGAGAUCACACCUCUGUACUCCAGCCUUGGCAACAGAGCGAGCCUCUGUCUCAAAAAAAGAAAAACAAAACAAAACAAAAAAACCACAGUGAGAUACCACUUCAUAUCCAUUAGGAUGGCUAGAAUUUUUUUUAUAUAACAAGUGUUAGCAAGGACAUGGAGAAAUUGAAACUCUUGUACAUUGCUGGUGGGAAUGUAAAAUGGUGCAGCCACUGUGGAAAGCAGUGUGAUGGUUCCUCAAAAAGUUAAGCAUAGAAUUACCAUAUAACCCCAAGUCCCACUGCUAGGUAUAUACUAAAAUAUUUGAAAAUGGGUAUUUAUUUAUUUAUUUAUUAAAUGAGGCAGGAUCUUGCUCUGUUGCCCAGGCUGGGGUUCAGUGUUAUGAUCAUAGUUCACUGCAGCCUUGAACUUCUGGGCUCAGGCCGUCCUCCCGCCUAAGCCUCUUGAGUAGCUGGGACUACAGGCACAUGCCACUAUGUCUUGCUAAUUUUUUAAAUUGUUUAGAGUGGGUGUUUGUGUGGCGGGGGUCUCACUAUGUUGCUCAAGCUUGUCUCUAACUCCUAAUCUCAAGCAGUCCUCCUGACAUGGACUUCCAAAGUGCUGGGAUUACAGGUUUGAGCCACUGUGCCGGCCUGAAAAUAGGUAUUUAAACAAAUACUUAUAUGUGCAUGUUCAUAGCAGCACUAUUUACAAUGGCCAAAAAUGUACAAACAACUCAAAUAUCCAUCAGCAAAUAAAUGCAUAAACCAAAUAUGGCAUAUACAUACCUACUUCCCCCCAAUGGCUCCUCCUAUCCCUCAGUAGAUUUGAUGUUCUCUCAUUUGUGACUUCAGAGUAUAUUCCACAGCUUAAGCUUUAGUACCCAACUUGUUUGUGGCCAGAAGAGGUCAGUGUCCCUCUUCUAACCUCUGAGCUGCUUCCCAUGUAGUGAUUGUAUCUCGUUCAUUAAUACAUCCCUAGUACAUGGCACAUACUAAACACUAAAAAUACUUAUUGAACAAAUUAAUUUAUUUUGUCCUAUUUCAGAUCCCAUAUAGAAUUAUAUAUUGCACAUCAUUUAUAUGUCAAAUGCUUAUAUUGUACUUUUCUGUUUUUGUUCUUUCAUUUUUGCCUCUCUUGCUCAUCAGAUUAUAAAGUAUCCCAGGACAGUGCUCUGUAACCAGCCCAUAGUAGCUACUGCUAUUUUACCAGCUACUGUAUCUUUCCUUCUUUGAUUUCCAGCACCUGACAGUGAAAAGAGCAAUUUGAAGAAAAACAAAAUUUAUCUUCAAUGUGAAAAGCAAUUUAUAAAAAUCCGAAUACUUGCCAGGAGCAACUUGACAAAAAAGACAAAGGUGGUAGAAGAAAUGUAACCAGCCCACAAUUCCAAUGUUGAUAACAGAUGAGCUCCCUUUCAAGGUGACUGACAUUUACACAAGUACACAGAGCAAGAAGAAGGUCUGAGUGAACUGCCAAGCAUUUUAACUUCUCCUGAGACCAAGUACAUCAACAGUUCUCUUGGAAAAGAACAACUGAUUUGGGAGUCUAGCAGACUGCCAGCUGCAAGACAUUCAUCCAGCAUCAGGAACACAAUGGGCCUUCAUUUGCCUGCCUUUCUGAGGGCACCAAUCAAAAGUAACAGCUGCCACCUUUUUCUAUGAGACUUGAUUAUAAUUUUCUAUGGCCAAGGGUUUGCUGUGACACUUCCACAUCAUUCUUCAGUAUGUAGUCCAGAGAUUAGCUACAGAUUCAAGAAACACAGACUGUAAACUAUUAUAUACAGACAUAUCUCAAAAUAAGCAUACCCAUUAGUGCCAGCUGCCCUGAAAGACUGAAUGACCCCAGCUAUUUUCCAAAUGUUUUUUCAGAAAGCCAUGAACACACCUUUCUGGGAUCCUAUCUAUUUCAAAGACAGGCAAAGCUCUGUGGUUCAGUUCCACCACCCAGUACCAAGCCCACAGUAUGCAGACCAUACGCCUUACACAUGGCCUUUUCUCUUUAUGUAAUUGCUGUACCAUAUUCAGCAGAUCUAGACUGACUCAAAGCAUGUUCCCUCAAGAAGCUCCACAGAAAAAAAGGUUUCUGUGAUCAAAAAUCAUUUGGGAAAUGCUGCAAACCCUAUCUGCCUCUUAGAGCUUAACCAUGCAUGUCGGGGCAUAAUAUAAACCUUUUCCAGUCUGGGCCACAGAGUGAGACCCCACCUCUAAAAUAAUAAAUCAAUAAACUCUUGAGAAGUACACAGAAAAGAAACUUCUGUAACUUUUUAGGUCUUAAUUACAAGCAAUUGUAGCUUAAUCUAAACUUGCUCUUCACUUUAUUUCUAUGCUCUUGAAAACUAGUGACAUAAGCCUUAUGAAUUUUUUGUUUGUUUGUUUCUUCUUUUUUUAAGAGAGAGACAGGGUCUCAUUCUGUUGCUCAGGUUGGAGUGCAGAGGCACAAUCAUAGCUCACCGUAACCUUGAAUUCCUAGUCUCAAGUAAUCCUCCCAUCUCAGCCUCCCUAAUAACUAGGACUACAGGCACAUACCACCACAUCUGGCUAGUGUGUGUGUGUGUGUGUGUGUGUGUGUGUACAGGGGUCUCAUUAUGUUCCCCAGGCUGGUCUUGAACUCCUGGGCUUAAGCGAUCCUCCCACCGCAGCCUCCCAAAACUUUGGGAUUACAGGCAUGAGCCACUACACCUGGCUGGAUUAUUCUUUCUUUAAAAAAAUUUUUUUGGCCGGGCGCCGUGACUGUAAUCCCGGCACUUUGAGGGGCCGAGGCGGGCGAAUCACGAGGUCAGGAGAUAGAGACCAUCCUGGCUAACACGGUGAAACCCCGUCUCU
rnacentral:lncRNA from 1 species